GCACAAGCGGUGGAGCAUGUGGUUUAAUUCGAUGCAACGCGAAGAACCUUACCUGGCUUGACAUCCCGGGAAUCCCUUGGAAACAAGGGAGUGCCCUUCGGGGAACCUGGAGACAGGUGCUGCAUGGCUGUCGUCAGCUCGUGUCGUGAGAUGUUGGGUUAAGUCCCGCAACGAGCGCAACCCUUGUCAUUAGUUGCCAUCAUUCAGUUGGGCACUCUAAUGAGACUGCCGGUGACAAACCGGAGGAAGGUGGGGAUGACGUCAAGUCCUCAUGGCCCUUAUGGGUAGGGCUUCACACGUCAUACAAUGGUCGGUACAGAGGGUUGCCAAGCCGCGAGGUGGAGCCAAUCCCAGAAAGCCGAUCGUAGUCCGGAUUGGAGUCUGCAACUCGACUGCGUGAAGUCGGAAUCGCUAGUAAUCGCGGAUCAGCAUGUCGCGGUGAAUACGUUCCCGGGUCUU
rnacentral:rRNA from 1 species